CAGGGCUUGACACCCACAAUCAGGUCCAUGUUGAACAACCACACACUAUGCCAUGGCAGCCUGGUGUUCAUCAUGGUGCAUCAGGGCUGGACAUGAACCAGUUUGUUGCUGUGCAGCAUGGUUAUGCCACACCAAAUGUGCAACACAGCACAACAGGGCUUGAUACCCACAAUCUGGUCAAUGUUGUGCAACAACCACACACUAUGUAAUGGCAGUAAGGUUAUCAUCAUGGUGCAUCAGUGCUGGACAUGAACCACAUUGUUUCUGUGCAGCAUUGUUACACCACAUCAAAUGUGCUGCACAGCACAGGUGACACCUGAUGGAACCCAUCAUAUCAAAUGUCUGUGGUACUGCUCCAAUGACCUUAUAUUCUUUAACAAUGACAAAUUAUAUAUGAGCAGCACAUCAGUCUGGAUUAUGCCAUGUCAAGGAGCAGUGAGGGAGGUCCCAAACAUUUGGAUCUUGACACUGAUGUCAAGUCAGGCACCUUAGGCUGCCACAAGAGCUGAUGACGAGGACUGGGAUACACUCAGCCUUAUCUGGCCACCAGAAGGAGAGUGGAAAGAACCUUGGAAUUCCAUCACUUCAGAGGGGGCA